AACGUAGGAGGCUAGCGUUAUCCGGAUUUAUUGGGCGUAAAGCGCGUGCAGGCGGUCUAUCAAGUUGGAUGUGAAAGCUCCUGGCUUAACUGGGAGAGGUCGUUCAAAACUGAUAGACUAGAGAAUGGUAGAGGGAGGUGGAAUUCCGGGUGUAGUGGUGAAAUGCGUAGAUAUCCGGAGGAACACCAGUGGCGAAAGCGGCCUCCUGGGCCAUUUCUGACGCUAAGACGCGAAAGCUAGGGUAGCAAACGGG
rnacentral:rRNA from 1 species